rnacentral:rRNA from 1 species
CCGUACACAAAAGCGCAUGUGUUGUGAGCUCGAUGAGUAGGGCGGGACACGUGGUAUCCUGUCUGAAUAUGGGGGGACCAUCCUCCAAGGCUAAAUACUCCUGACUGACCGAUAGUGAACCAGUACCGUGAGGGAAAGGCGAAAAGAACCCCGGCGAGGGGAGUGAAAAAGAACCUGAAACCGUGUACGUACAAGCAGUGGGAGCCCCACCACUAAGCCAGUGGUGAACUCCACAUACGCAUCCUUUGCUGAAGGUGCGGUUAACGGAGCGCAAGCGACGCCCAACACACAAAACAAGCGGUGAGUGCUUUGGGGUGGGGUGACUGCGUACCUUUUGUAUAAUGGGUCAGCGACUUAUAUUCUGUAGCAAGGUUAACCGUAUAGGGGAGCCGGAGGGAAAC